GCUUAACCGGAGAAGUGCAUCGGAAACUGGGAGACUUGAGUGCAGAAGAGGACAGUGGAACUCCAUGUGUAGCGGUGGAAUGCGUAGAUAUAUGGAAGAACACCAGUGGCGAAGGCGGCUGUCUAGUCUGUAACUGACGCUGAGGCUCGAAAGCAUGGGUAGCGAACAGGAUUAGGUACCCUGGUAGUCCAUGCCGUAAACGAUGAGUGCUAAGUGUUGGAGGGUUUCCGCCCUUCAGUGCUGCAGCUAACGCAUUAAGCACUCCGCCUGGGGAGUACGACCGCAAGGUUGAAACUCAAAGGAAUUGACGGGGGCCCGCACAAGCGGUGGAGCAUGUGGUUUAAUUCGAAGCUACGCGAAGAACCUUACCAGGUCUUGACAUCUUCUGCCAAUCUUAGAGAUAAGACGUUCCCUUCGGGGACAGAAUGACAGGUGGUGCAUGGUUGUCGUCAGCUCGUGUCGUGAGAUGUUGGGUUAAGUCCCGCAACGAGCGCAACCCUUAUUAUCAGUUGCCAGCAUUCAGUUGGGCACUCUGGUGAGACUGCCGGUGACAAACCGGAGGAAGGUGGGGAUGACGUCAAAUCAUCAUGCCCCUUAUGACCUGGGGCUACACACGUGCUACAAUGGACGGUACAACG
rnacentral:rRNA from 1 species